ensembl:lncRNA
GUCCGGCUCUCCUGGGAUGAAGAUGAUAUCCGUCCUACCUCUGGCGUCACGCCCUGCUGGGGGACGGCAAACUUGCAGUCUGUUCAAGAAAGUCGUGUCCGGAAGCAUAGGAAGGGAGCUUUUGACCCAACCUGAGACUCUGGCAGUGGAGUUUUCGGAUAGACUAUUCGGGUCAAAACCGGGACUUGCAGAGAGAGGAUGAAUGAAAGGAAAAUUAUAAAUAGACGGUGUCUAUUUAUAUAGCAUCAUGUAAGUUGUCAUUUUAAAAGUUACAUUUUACGGUUUAAUCUUGUUUUCGUUUCUAAUCACAAAUGGACGGGAGCACCUAAGUUCUUAAUAGGAUCUACAUGUAUGGAUGUGAGAGUUGGACUGUGAAGAAGGCUGAGCGCCGAAGAAUUGAUGCUUUUGAACUGUGGUGUUGGAGAAGACUCUUGAGAGUCCCUUGGACUGCAAGGAGAUCCAACCAGUCCAUUCUGAAGGAGAUCAGCCCUGGGUGUUCUUUGGAAGGAAUGAUGCUGAAGCUGAAACUCCAGUACUUUGGCCACCUCAUGCGAAGAGUUGAUUCAUUGGAAAAGACUGAUGCUGGGAGGGAUUGGGGGCAGGAGGAGAAGGGGACGACAGAGGAUGAGAUCGCUGGAUGGCAUCACGGACUCGAUGGACGUAAGGUUGUGGGAGAUCAAACCACAGCCAAUCCUAAAGGAAAUCAACCCUGAAUAUUCACUGGAAGGACUGAUGCUGAAGCUGAAGCUCCAACACUUUUGUCACCUGAUGCAAAGAGCUGGAAAAACCUUGAUGCUGGGAAAGAUUAAAGGCAACAGGAGAAGGAGGGUGAAAUGGUUGGAUGGCAUCACUGACUCAAUGGACAUGAGUUUGAGCAAACUCCGGAAGAUAGUGAAGGACAGGGAAGCCUGGUGUGCUGCAGUCUAUGGUGUUGCAAAGAGUCAGACACAACUUAGCCACUGAAAAACAACAAUGUUGUGGGAGAGGUUGUAGGAAG